rnacentral:misc_RNA from 1 species
AGCAGCCGCGGUAAUUCCAGCUCCAAUAGCGUAUAUUAAAGUUGUUGCAGUUAAAAAGCUCGUAGUUGAAUUUCGGGAUCAAUAUGUUGGUCGUGCCUCGGUACGUACUAGCAUAUUGGUUCUCCUUCUGAAGAACCAUGAUGUCAUUGAUUUGGUGUCGUGGGGAAUCAGGAGCUGUUACUUUGAAAAAAAUUAGAGUGUUUAAAGCAGGCUCAACGCUUGAAUACAUUAGCAUGGAAUAAUGAAAUAGGACGUUUGAUUCUAUUUUGUUGGUUUCUAGGAUCGACGUAAUGAUUAAUAGGGAUAGUUGGGGGCAUUAGUAUUCAAUUGUCAGAGGUGAAAAUUCUUGGAUUUAUUGAAGACUAAACUACUGCGAAAAGCAUUUGCCAAGGAUGUUUUCAUUAAUCAAGAACGAAAGUUAGGGGAUCGAAGACGAUCAGAUACCGUCGUAGUCUUAACCAUAAACUAUGCCGACUAGGGGAUCGGAUGAUGUUAAUUUUUUAAUGACUCAUUCGGCGCC